rnacentral:lncRNA from 10 species
AGAGUUUCACCCUAAGAAGAAAGGGGAAGCAGGUGGAAAAGCAAUUAAAAAAAAAUCAGCUGGAACUUGCCCCACCAGAUUCUCUUUCGGUGAUUCAGAGCUGAAGGUGCCUCACUGCCCUGUGGAACAGGUGAAUAAAGCCUUCCCAGCAUCUCUCUCUAGCCUAUUAUCUCCUGUUAGACACAGCCCAGAAAAUGAAUAGAGACAAGUCCUGGCUGGGUCUGGGUUCAGAAACAUAAUAGAAGGAUUCAUCUAAUGGAAGGGAAUUCUUUCCACAGUUGCUAGUUCCUCACACCUCUGCCUCUAUGGGAUUCUCCUGGUCCCCACAUGCUCUGCUGUGUCUUCUAGCUGUCGGCCACUGUGGAGGAAGUGAACCUUCUAGAUCCUGCUGACUCAUACAAUGAGUUUUGUGUGGACCAUCAGACAAAAGGGCUGGCUGGUGAAGGUGGCUGUUGUCUGGAAAUUCCUCCCAGCUCUCCUCUAAUUAUGUCAUAAGGACUGGAGGCCCCUUAGCCUGCUUGUGAUAACACGCAAGGAAAUAUGGGCCAACUCUUCACAUGAACACAAGAUAUUUCCAUGCUAGCCUUUUGCAAGUAACAACAGAGAGAGCUCUGUGCAGUUUUCACUGGAAUGCCUGUGGAUUGCUUGUGUCAUAACUGUAAUCUAAAGAGUUGUCCAUUUGUUGAUUCCUUUGUAUUUGUAUUGGUAGAAUUGCCACUAUCAAACCAAGAUCUUUAGCUGCCUUUGUAUCAACUUCUUUGGAGCUUAUGUGAUUUUCCAGAAAAUUUCCAAGGCAUAGUUUUGUCCCUAAGUCCCAUGAAUAUGUAAUAUUUUGUGUCUCUCUAUUAAAAUAGCACUUUUUGUGCAUUCCAUUAACAAAUAUAUGUGUAUGUGUCUGUGUGUGGACAAACAUAUCAAUUACUUCACCCACUUUAGUGGGAAAAAUAAUUUACUCUGAGUUUCUGGAAUACCAGAUAGUGAGUAAGUUCUUUGAGAAUGGAAUAUCGAUGUUUAAUUAUAUUCUAUAAACCCAAGACAAGGGGGUGGCAGAUAUUCCUAAUUCAUUUUCCAAUAUGUUUAGAUAAUAGGCUUCAUUAUAUAUAUAUGUAAAUAUCUUGCACAUUUUUAAAUUUUGCACAAGAAAAUGCAAAACUUUUAAAAAAUAUUAACAUCUAUUCACCUACUGUUACGUUCUGUGGACAUCAUUAGUGGGAUUUUACGAGUAGAUAAAUUUUUCUGACAAUUGGAAACUCUGUCAGAAAGAAGCAGUACAUUUUAUAUCCUGGGAAUAUUGUCUCUUAUUUUUUAUGUACCUAAUAAGUAUUAUGCCACAGUGAGCUCUAUUCUCUAACUUGAGAUUAAAAGGUUGAACACAGAGACACAGAUAGGUUCACUGACAAGGGGCCAAAUCCCAGUGUUCUCUGACAUAGAAGAGGAAUGCUUUAAGUUACCCAUCCAAUACCCCAUUAGAAUUUCCACCUCGGAUGUUGGAGUCUACAUGAGGCUGGCUUCUUAUAGUUUCACACAUUCUUCUGGUGCUAACAUGUUCCUUCUAACUGUAUUCGCUUUCAAUUGCUGGUGCAACAAAUUACCACACAUUUGGUAGUUUAAACCACACGAACUUAACGUCUUACAAGUUUGGCAGUCAGGAGGCUGCUACAAGUCUCACUGGGCUAAAUUCUAGGUGUCAGCAGGACCACAUUUCUUUCUUUCUGGAGGUUUUAGGGGGACAAUCCAUCCCCUUGCCUUUUCCAACUUCUAGAGGCCACCCACAUUUCUGGGGGCAGAUCUCUUUUUCCCUCUUCAAAGCCAGCAGCUUCAGGCUGAGUGCUCUUUUGCCGCAUCUCUGAUCCUUCCGUCAUCACAUCUCUCUCACUGACUACAGCCAGGAAAGCUUCUCUGCUUUGAAGGACUCAUUAUUACAUUGAGGCCACCCGGAUAAUCUGGAUCAGCCCCUUCCCACCCACCAUCUCAAGGUACAGACCCUUAAUCACAAUAGCAAAAUUCCUUUUGCCAUGUCAGGUAACAUAUUUACAUAUACCAGGGAUUGGGGCAAGGACAUUUUGGAGGGGCCAUUGUUCAUCUACCAUACAGAAUUAAUUUAUUUAUUCAUUAAUGUUCCAAUAAUUGAUUGUUUAUAAGGAGCCAAGAACUACUUAUUAGUCAAAAUUUGCCUAACACUUUAAGCAAUUCUCAGGAAUUUCCUCAGGAAAUUCUCCAUGUAACAUUCUAGGUUGGAGUUGAGUCCUGUAUAGGCUACCCAUUGGGGAAAAGAGACAGUCUCUUGAUUUACUACAGGACCUGUGUUAGAAGAAGAUGUAUGAUUGAAGAAGCAUAAAGAAAGGCAUGGUGUCCCC